rnacentral:rRNA from 1 species
GGCCGUCGUCAGUUCGUACUUGUGAAGCAUCCUGUUAAGUCAGGCACGAGCGAGACCCACGCCCACAGUUGCCAGCGUACUCUCCGGAGUGACGGGUACACUGUGGGGACCGCCGCUGCUAAAGCGGAGGAAGGAAUGGGCAACGGUAGGUCAGUAUGCCCCGAAUAUCCCGGGCUACACGCGAGCUACAAUGGUUUGGUACAAUGGGUAUCUACCCCGAAAGGGGACGGAAAUCUCCUAAAACCAAUCUUAGUUCGGAUUGAGGGCUGCAACUCGCCCUCAUGAAGCUGGAAUCCGUAGUAAUCGCGUUUCAACAGAACGCGGUGAAUACGUCCCUGCUCCUUU